rnacentral:rRNA from 1 species
UACGUAGGUGACCAGCGUUGUCCGGAUUUAUUGGGCGUAAAGGGCGCGUAGGCGGCCAUUCAAGUGACGGGUGAAAGCCCUCGGCUUAACCGAGGAACUGCCUGUCAGACUGGAUGGCUUGAGACCGGGAGAGGUGAGUGGAAUUCCCAGUGUAGCGGUGAAAUGCGUAGAUAUUGGGAGGAACACCAGUGGCGAAGGCGGCUCACUGGACCGGAACUGACGCUGAGGCGCGAAAGCGUGGGGAGCAAACAGG